AUUGAACGCUGGCGGCAUGCCUUACACAUGCAAGUCGAACGGCAGCGCGGACUUCGGUCUGGCGGCGAGUGGCGAACGGGUGAGUAAUGUAUCGGAACGUACCAUUCAGUGGGGGAUAACGCAGCGAAAGUUGCGCUAAUACCGCAUAUUCUGUGCGCAGGAAAGCAGGGGAUCGCAAGACCUUGCGCUGAUUGAGCGGCCGAUACCAGAUUAGCUAGUUGGUGAGGUAAAGGCUCACCAAGGCGACGAUCUGGAGCGGGUCUGAGAGGAUGAUCCGCCACACUGGAACUGAGACACGGUCCAGACUCCUACGGGAGGCAGCAGUGGGGAAUUUUGGACAAUGGGCGCAAGCCUGAUCCAGCCAUGCCGCGUGAGUGAAGAAGGCCUUCGGGUUGUAAAGCUCUUUCGGCCGGGAAGAAAUCGUAUGGGUUAAUACCCUGUGCGGAUGACGGUACCGGCAUAAGAAGCACCGGCUAACUACGUGCCAGCCGCCGCCGUAAUAC
rnacentral:rRNA from 1 species